CUCUUGGGAUCCCAGAGCGAUCCGAGAUCAGAUCACCGAACGGGACCGUGUGUUGUUAACUAUUUAAAUGUAGAACAAAAAUGUAGCCUAGCAUUGCGCGUUUAUAGAGAUCAAACUGAGAAGACGCCCGCCAACUUACCCUGGAUAAAUAGCUCUUGGUGGUAAUACUUAGGCCUAUUUCAUACGAAACUGUGGGCUAGUUGAUAUCCACCACAACGGUAUUUAACUUGUCGCAGUGGAUAAUCGUGCCGGAUUAACGGAAUCUAAAGGAUUUAAUUCAUAAUAUUGUCAUUUGCAUCCGAAUAAUUUACCAGGCCCCUGGGCCCCAGCCUGCGUUGGCGAGAUGGACAGGAUGAAGAUCAUCAAGCGGAGGUUGUCCAUGUCUCUACGCAGCGCGCGGCCUGUUGACGAUUCGCUUUCUGAACUGGCCGAGCAGAUGACCCUGGAUGAGCCAUCUGCCUCCAGAGACAAUGAACCUAUGGUGGUGUGUGCUGUACAUCCCCCCGCCUCUCACAGCGCUCCCUCCUUCCUGCGUCAGUACGCCGGCCACCUGGGCCGAACUGCCCUGCGUAGAGAAGCUGGAGGGCUGGACAGAGACAGGCCCUACCUCACCCUGCACAGGACCGGAUCUCUCGGUAUUGUCCAUGAGAAUGUGAAGAUGGGCUCCGACGGUGAGAGCGACCAGGCGUCUGGGACGUCUUCUGAUGAGGUCCAGAGCCCAGUCAGGGUGCGCAUGAGGAACAAUCACCACCGACGCAUCUCUAACGAGGACAUAAACAAGCGCCUGUCUCUCCCUGCUGACAUCCGCCUGCCGGAGGGAUACCUAGAGAAGUUCGCUAUGAACAGCCCGCCCUUCGACAAGCCAAUGAGCCGCAGGCUACGACGCGCCUCUCUGUCUGAAAUCGGCUUUGGCAAACUGGAGACCUACAUCAAACUGGAUAAACUCGGAGAGGGAACCUACGCCACAGUGUUUAAGGGCCGGAGCAAGCUGACAGAUAACCUGGUGGCGUUGAAAGAGAUCCGAUUGGAGCAUGAAGAGGGAGCGCCCUGCACUGCCAUCCGCGAAGUGUCUCUGUUAAAAGACUUGAAGCAUGCCAACAUAGUCACCCUCCAUGACAUCAUCCACACUGAUAAGUGCCUAACACUGGUGUUUGAAUACCUGGAGAAGGACUUAAAGCAGUACAUGGAUGACUGUGGGAGUAUCAUGAGUGUACACAAUGUCAAAAUCUUCCUGUUCCAGUUGUUGCGGGGCUUGGCGUACUGCCACCGGAGGAAGGUUCUCCACAGAGACCUCAAACCCCAGAACCUGCUCAUCAAUGACAAGGGAGAACUCAAACUGGCUGACUUUGGUCUGGCCCGGGCCAAGUCUGUCCCCACUAAGACCUACUCCAACGAGGUGGUGACUCUAUGGUACCGCCCCCCUGAUGUCCUGCUGGGCUCAACAGAGUACUCUACACCCAUUGACAUGUGGGGUGUGGGCUGCAUAUUCUAUGAGAUGAUCACAGGAAGACCUCUCUUCCCCGGCUCCACGGUGGAGGAUGAACUGCAUCUCAUAUUCCGCAUACUAGGUACACCUACAGAGGAAACCUGGCCCGGCAUCACCACCAGUGAAGAGUUUAAGACCCACAAAUUCCCUCGGUAUCGUGCAGAGCCUCUCGUCAACCAUGCACCCAGGAUAGACAGUGACGGCCAUGACCUGCUCUCCUUGCUACUUCAGUUUGAAGCGAAGAAGCGUGUGACAGCAGAGGACGCCCUCCGACACCCCUACUUCAAGAGUCUGGGGGAGCAGGUUCAAACCCUGGCUGACACUUCUUCCAUUUUCACAGUGAAGGACAUCCAUCUCCAAAGAGAUCCAGGAAAGAGGGGUUCAGGCUUCACAGAGACAGCAGUGGCUCUUAAGCUAGGCUCCGCCCCCUCGCAGUACUUCCAGAGAGAAGGAUCCAAUCCCAGGGCACAGAGUCGUGCCCCGUCCUCCCCUUCUACUGGCUGAGUGGCCCCUACCAUUCUGUUCUGUUUAGGUUCCUGCAGAGGGAGAUGUAACCUCUCUAGUAGACUUCCAUGGGAAGGGGUCGAAGGCAGAGUGUGCUGUUUUAGCGGGAGCGUUGGGGUGCGGUUAAUUGACGCACAGAGCCGUUGCACACCCCGACCCUGCCACACACACACACCAAAGGAGACAAAACACACACACGCCCUGACAUAGACAGACACACACACAUAGAACACAGGAGAGAAAACACACUACAAAACAAACAAAAAAACACCCCAAACCAAGACUGAGAAGCACUCUCUCAAAACAGUGCACAAUCCAGACUGAGGACGGUGAAAAAGGAGAAGAGGAACAUGAAGUGAUAAAGGAAGGGGAAAGAACGUCUUCCAAACUGCCACUACCUGUAAGAGGGCAGCGGUUAGCGUGUGGUUAGCGUGUGUUCGGGGUGAGUGGAGUUUGAACAGGACUUUUGCGUGUCAGUCAAUGUGCGUAGGUGGACGGAGGGGGCUUGGGUUGCUCUACUCGGCACUCCUCAGGAUUGUGCGGAUGUUUCCAAGUAGGAGGAAAGUGAUUCUCUCUUUCUUUCUCAUUGGAUUGUUGUUGCACCUCAGAGACUGAGCUGUAUAACUCUGUUUUGUCAUGUCACAACGAGCCUGAACUUCCUGACCCUUUACCACUUCCUGCUCCCAACACAUACACACCCCCAGAAACACACAGCCAUGGAGGAAGUGGGUUAGUAUAAGGAUCCAUACGUUGCCAGUUGGUUCGGUCAAUAUUCCUGAAAUUGAAAUAGUGUUGAAAGAAAACCCAACUGUUGCUCCUUUUACAAUGUCAACCAACCCUACGUUCAUCACCAUGGCAACGCAUUAUCCAUUGCCUAGUAUAUAAUCCAUUGCAUAGCAUGUCUCUCCUCACACCCUUACCUCUAUCUCGCUCUCUCAAAUACACAUAAACACUUGAAUAUUACAGUGUGCAGUCUUGCUAUCGAUGAAGUUUAAGAAACCUUUGCACCUUAAGGCCCUUUAUAGCUAAGGGUGGCUGUUAUGUAUUUCCUCAUUAGUCGCUCAGGCAGAAUAGGGUACACAUGUACCCCAGAAGUAAACACUAACAACCCCUGAAGCUACUGGAGUUUCCUUUACUUAAGGGAACAAGUAUGCACUUUGGAGAAGGGGUACACACCUCUCCACAACAGAAACAUGCACAAAAGAGCACUGUCCACAAACCACAGAACAAAAAAUUAACAAAUGCAUUACGGCAUUCCAGGAUCAGAUUCCGUAGAGAUCUCCACUACAGACGGUAUAACGGUCGAAAUGUUGACUCCCAUGGUCAGCACACUACAGAUGUAGCAUGGGUCUGUCUGAUAAGGGGUCAAAUAACCUACCUGCUCCAUCCCUGACUACCCCUUCCUGUUCUGCCUUGACUUGAAGUUUGUUUUGUUGGUAACUGUAGCAUUUCACAUGAAAAUGAUAUAUGAAGAAGCUGAAUCUGAGUAUGUGUGUUUUAUAUGUAUGCUAUAUCAUGCAAGAUUCUACUGUAAAAAAAAAUGGCCUCUUGAUCAUGUUAAACACAUGGAAAGACAUGACAGACAUGGCCAUGGAGAAGAGUCUUUAGAUGGAAUGUGUCAGUAAUGGGGGCAAAGGCCUCAAGCAGAAGGCAGUUGGCAAAAUAUAUGGUCUGUAGAUCUUAGAGACCUAGAGGUGCGGAGAAAGUUAGAUAUAUCAUCCUUGAAGUCCUUAAGGCAUUCAAAGAGGGACGUUAAGUGCGAUCACAUUGUCUCAAUGGAAGGUACAUUUGUGUAUUAUCAGCCCAGUAAUAGUAAAUAUUUUUCCAGAAAAAGACCUGAUGGGUAGCAUAACGAGAAAUAAAACGGUUCCCAAGGAGUACAGAAGAAGAGAAAUUCCUGUUCUCGUCAGAAAAGUACUUCUGAGUAGGAUGCCAACCCUGCAUUGAGCAUUGAGAUCCAGCAGGAUUAAAGCAUCACACUUCCCAGAGUCACAGCUAUAGUUCACUUGACAGGAUUGCAGACUCCAUGCUAAGGACGAAGUCUGAAACUUGACUGAAAAUUCUCGUUUUGAUUCAGAGAGGGUAGAAAGCUGAGACGGGAGAUGGGACAGAUCAUAUGGAACCACUGCAUGUUGACUGAGCUUUCUAAUAAAGGGCUGGACCACUGGUGUAAAAGGAGAUGGACCAGUGCCCUUGACUAGACAACAUAAGGGAUGCUACACUGCCCGGGGCAGGUGGUUGGUUUCAUGUGUAAGAUGUUGUCAUAUGUGUGUAAAAAGUGGUAACUUUUUGGGUGGGAAUCUUGCAUCACAUAGGAGACAUACAAGACAACUUGUGCACAAAUUUGGUAACACUUCAUCUGUAGAUGAUCAAACUUUCAAGAAACUAAAUUCCAGUUGGUUAUGUCAAUUUCCUAAUUGGUUAGGGUGUAGGUGAGGGUUAGUUGAUAGUGAUUUAACAUUUGUCGAUCGUUGAUUGAACAUAUAGUAAUGUGUAGAUCAUCUACAAAUGGACUAUUCAAAUAAAGUGUUAUCACAAAUUC